rnacentral:rRNA from 1 species
GAUGAACGCUGACAGAAUGCUUAACACAUGCAAGUCAACUGUGGCGGACGGGUGAGUAACGCGUAAAGAACUUGCCUCACAGAUAGGGACAACAUUUGGAAACGAAUGCUAAUACCUGAUACUGUGAGAGAGCUUUGCGUCCCAUUAGCUAGUUGGAGAGGUAACGGCUCACCAAGGCGAUGCUGGGUAGCCGGCCUGAGAGGGUGAUCGGCCACAAGGGGACUGGGACACGGCCCUUACGCCUUCGGGAGGCAGCAGUGGGGAAUAGUGGACGAUGGACCAAAGUCUGAUCAAGGAAUUCUGUGUGUACGAUGAAGUUGUCGGAAUGUAAAGUGCUUUCAGUUGGGAAGCGGUACCAGCAGAAGAAGUGACGGCUAAAUACGUGCCAGCAGCCGCGGUAAUUC